AACCCAGGGAAACUUGGGCUAAUACCGGAUGUGAGCAUCCUUUUUGGAUGUUUGAAAGGUGGCUUUUAGCUGUCGCUUGAGGAUGAGCCUGCGUCCUAUUAGUUAGUUGGUGAGGUAAUGGCUCCCCAAGGCUAUGAUAGGUAGGCGGCCUUAACGGGUGGUCGCCCACACUGGGAUUGAGAUACGGCCCAGACUCCUACGGGAGGCAGCAGUCGAGAAUAGUCUACAAUGGCCGAAAGGCUGAUAGUGCGACGCCGCGUGAACGAGGAAGCCCUUCGGGGUGUAAAGUUCUUUUAUAUGUGAGCAGUGCCGGUCAUAUUAAUAGUAUGACUGGAGCGAUAUUAGCAUAUGAAUAAGCAACGGCUAACUCCGUGCCAGCAGCCGCGGUAACACGGGGGUUGCGAGCGUUGUCCGGAAUUACUAGGCGUAAAGGGCAGGCAGGCGGACCUGCAAGUUUUCUGUUAAAGACGUCAGCUCAACUGGCGCACGGCAGGAGAUACUGCAGAUCUUGAAUGCGGUUGGGGAAGACAGAAUUCCUGGUGUAGCGGUGGAAUGCGCAGAGAUCAGGAGGAAUACCAAAGGCGAAGGCAGUCUUCCAAGCCGUUAUUGACGCUCAACUGCGAAGGUGUGGGUAUCAAACAGGAUUAGAUACCCUGGUAGUCCACACAGUAAACGAUG
rnacentral:rRNA from 1 species